ACAGACUGUAGCAACCAGUGCUGAAGGCUAUUUCACGAAACCAAGAUGAGGGAUUAAGCCAGGAUUUCCCAGUUAUCCUGGCUCAAUUUAGCCUUGACUCGGUUUCACAAAAGCAGAGGCACAUAAGUUACCAUGGAGAUUUAUUCUGUGCAGCUAGCCUGGUCCCGACCAGACUAACAGCUAGGAUUUA